rnacentral:rRNA from 1 species
CCUACGGGGGGCAGCAGUGGGGAAUAUUGGGCAAUGGGCGCAAGCCUGACCCAGCAACGCCGCGUGAAGGAAGAAGGCUUUCUGGUUGUAAACUUCUUUUAUGAGGGAUGAAGGAAGUGACGGUACCUCAUGAAUAAGCCACGGCUAACUACGUGCCAGCAGCCGCGGUAAUACGUAGGUGGCGAUCGUUAUCCGGAUUUAAUGGGUGUAAAGGGCGUGUAGGCGGGCUUGGAAGUCAGAUGUGAAAACUAUGGGCUCAACCCAUAGCCUGCAUUUGAAAUUGUAGGUCUUGAGUGAGGGAGAGGCAGGCGGAAUUCCGGGUGUAGCGGUGAAAUGCGUAGAUAUACGGAGGAACACCAGUGGCGAAGGCGGCCUGCUGGACAUUAACUGACGCUGAGGCGCGAAAGCGUGGGGAGCAAACAGGAUUAGAUACCCGGGUAGUC